rnacentral:rRNA from 1 species
GUACACUCCUGCGGGAGGCAGCAGUGGGGAAUUUUGGACAAUGGGCGAAAGCCUGAUCCAGCAAUGCCGCGUGAGUGAAGAAGGCCUUCGGGUUGUAAAGCUCUUUUGUCAGGGAAGAAACGGUGAGAGCUAAUAUCUCUUGCUAAUGACGGUACCUGAAGAAUAAGCACCGGCUAACUACGUGCCAGCAGCCGCGGUAAUACGUAGGGUGCAAGCGUUAAUCGGAAUUACUGGGCGUAAAGCGUGCGCAGGCGGUUUUGUAAGUCUGAUGUGAAAUCCCCGGGCUCAACCUGGGAAUUGCAUUGGAGACUGCAAGGCUAGAAUCUGGCAGAGGGGGGUAGAAUUCCACGUGUAGCAGUGAAAUGCGUAGAUAUGUGGAGGAACACCGAUGGCGAAGGCAGCCCCCUGGGUCAAGAUUGACGCUCAUGCACGAAAGCGUGGGGAGCAAACAGGAUUAGAAACCCGGGUAGUCCC